rnacentral:lncRNA from 1 species
CACUGACGCUGGAUCCUGCCAAGCUCCUGGAGGAAUUUCCACACUGGCUGGAGAAGCUCUCCGCUCGGCAUCAGGGCAGCAUCAUCAUCAUCAUCGACUCCAUAGACCAAGUUCAGGUGCCGCUCUCACUGUGUCUUCUAAUAGCCAAUGUUCUCGGAGGCCAGGGGACCAGAAUGGUGAGAGCAGGCGUCUCAGUUCUGAGCUUCAGGGAAGGGGAUGAUGCUGUUCCAUUUAUUUCUACUUAAUUCUGGGCGAGAUGUGUCUGAAUUAAAAAAAAAUAAAUGAAAGAAAGAAUUGUAUGCUUAUAGAUAGUAGCACCAAGUAAAUCAUACACUUAGCAAAAAGUAUUUAUUUUGACUUUUGGGGGGUGAAGGGUUGAGAUGGGAUUUCUCUGUAUACCUUUGGCUGUCCUGGAGCUUGUUCUGUGGACCAGACUGGCCCCAGAACUAACAGCGAUCCACCUGCCUCCGCCCCACAAGUGCUGGGACUAAAGGCCUGAGCCACCACUGCCCAUCCCUAUUUUGACAUCGAUUUAAGGCACUGACAUUUCCUUAAAUGUCCAGAAUUUAAAUGUGGUGAUAACGGUGUUUUUCCAACCUAGGAUAAACCAUUCCCGAAUAAGAGUUGUAUCCUUAAUGAUACGGAAAGUGUACUGAGGCUUUACCCCGUUGCACAGCUGUGGGCUUGCUCUGAAGCGCUGUCCUUACACGUGACUUCUGUUGUAUGUUCUUCAGCAAGUGGAGAAGCACAUGAAGUGGCUGAUCGACCCCCUGCCGGUGAAUGUCAGAGUCAUUGUUUCCGUGAAUGUGGAGACCUGCCCUACCGCCUGGAGGUUGUGGCCUACUCUGCAUCUCGACCCUUUAAGCCCCAAAGACGCCAUAUCUAUGAUAACGGC